rnacentral:rRNA from 1 species
AUUGAACGCUGGCGGCAGGCCUAACACAUGCAAGUCGAGCGGCGCGGGGGACGGGGGAGUGAGGCCUAGGAAUCUGCCUGGUUGUGAGGGAUCACUACCGGAAACGGGCGCUAAUGCCACAUACUUUCAGAUGCGUCUAGGUGGGAUUAGCUAGUUGGUGGGGUAACGGCCUACCAAGGCGACGAGCCGUCACUGGUCUGAGAGGAUGAUCAGUCACACUGGAACUGAGACACGGUCCAGACUCCUACGGGAGGCAGCAGUGGGGAAUAUUGGACAAUGGGCGAAAGCCUGAUCCAGCCAUGCCGCGUGUGUGAAGAAGGUCUUCGGAUUGUAAAGCACUUUCAGUGGGGAGGCGUUACCAACAGAAGAAGCACCGGCUAACUCCGUGCCAGCAGCCGCGGUAAUUC